rnacentral:rRNA from 1 species
GUCGAGCGAACAGACGAGGAGCUUGCUCCUCUGACGUUAGCGGCGGACGGGUGAGUAACACGUGGAUAACCUACCUAUAAGACUGGGAUAACUUCGGGAAACCGGAGCUAAUACCGGAUAAUAUAUUGAACCGCAUGGUUCAAUAGUGAAAGACGGUUUUGCUGUCACUUAUAGAUGGAUCCGCGCCGCAUUAGCUAGUUGGUAAGGUAACAGCUUACCAAGGCAACGAUGCGUAGCCGACCUGAGAGGGUGAUCGGCCACACUGGAACUGAGACACGGUCCAGACUCCUACGGGAGGCAGCAGUAGGGAAUCUUCCGCAAUGGGCGAAAGCCUGACGGAGCAACGCCGCGUGAGUGAUGAAGGUCUUCGGAUCGUAAAACUCUGUUAUUAGGGAAGAACAAAUGCGUAAGUAACUAUGCACGUCUUGACGGUACCUAAUCAGAAAGCCACGGCUAACUACGUGCCAGCAGCCGCGGUAAUACGUAGGUGGCAAGCGUUAUCCGGAAUUAUUGGGCGUAAAGCGCGCGUAGGCGGUUUUUUAAGUCUGAUGUGAAAGCCCACGGCUCAACCGUGGAGGGUCAUUGGAAACUGGAAAACUUGAGUGCAGAAGAGGAAAGUGGAAUUCCAUGUGUAGCGGUGAAAUGCGCAGAGAUAUGGAGGAACACCAGUGGCGAAGGCGACUUUCUGGUCUGUAACUGACGCUGAUGUGCGAAAGCGUG